CCAGCCAUGCCGCGUGCAGGAUGACGGCCCUACUGGGUUGUAAACUGCUUUUGUAUGGGAAGAAACCCCCGAUCGUGAUCGGGGCUGACGGUACUUUACGAAUAAGCAUCGGCUAACUCCGUGCCAGCAGCCGCGGUAAUACGGAGGAUGCAAGCGUUAUCCGGAUUUAUUGGGUUUAAAGGGUGUGUAGGCGGGGUAGUAAGUCAGUGGUGAAAGUCUGCAGCUUAACUGUAGAAUUGCCGUUGAUACUGUUACUCUUGAAUUCAGUUGAGGUAGGCGGAAUGUGUAAUGUAGCGGUGAAAUGCAUAGAUAUUACACAGAACACCGAUUGCGUAGGCAGCUUGCUAAACUGAGAUUGACGCUGAGGCACGAAAGCGUGGGGAGCAAACAGGAUUAGAUACCCUGGUAGUCCACGCCGUAAACGAUGAUUACUGGAUGUGUGCGAUACACUGUACGCGUCUGAGCGAAAGCAUUAAGUAAUCCACCUGGGGAGUACGAUCGCAAGAUUGAAACUCAAAGGAAUUGACGGGGGCCCGCACAAGCGGAGGAACAUGUGGUUUAAUUCGAUGAUACGCGAGGAACCUUACCUGGGCUUAAAUGCAGAACGACGUACCGGGAAACUGGUAUUCCCUUCGGCCU
rnacentral:rRNA from 1 species